rnacentral:rRNA from 1 species
AUAAUACUCCAUAGAUUAGAGAUACUGGAAUGUUCUUUAGUCAAAAGUUCUGGCGCCUUAGGAUGGAUCUGCGGUCGAUUAGGUUGUUGUUGGGGUAACGGCCCAACAAGCCUGUAAUCGAUACGGGUUGUGGGAGCAAGAGCCCGGAGAUGGAAUCUGAGACACGAUUCCAGGCCCUACGGGGCGCAGCAGGCGCGAAAACUUUACAAUGCAGGAAACUGUGAUAAGGGAACUCCGAGUGCCCGUAUACGCGGGCUGUCCAGGUGUUUAAAAGUCAUCUGAAGAAAGGGCCGGGCAAGACCGGUGCCAGCCGCCGCGGUAAUACCGGCGGCUCGAGUGGUGGCCACUAUUAUUGGGCUUAAAGCGUCCGUAGCUGGACCGAUAAGUCUCUUGGGAAAUCCGCCGGCUCAACCGGCGGGCGUCUAAGGGAUACUGUUAGUCUAGGGACCGGGAGAGGUGAGAGGUACUCCGGGGGUAGGAGUGAAAUCCUGUAAUCCCCGGGGGACCACCGAUUGCGAAGGCAUCUCACCAGAACGGCUCCGACAGUGAGGGACGAAAGCUGGGGGAGCAAACCGGAUUAGAUACCCGGGUAGUCCCAGCCGUAAACUAUGCGCGUUAGGUGU